rnacentral:lncRNA from 1 species
GACAGGCAGAAAUGACCAGCCUUCACACUGAGGCCCCCACCCCACCCCAGGGACAGCUCCCUGUGGACGGAGUGACAAGUACUGGAUCCAAAGGGGAAGGGAUGACAGGGUCUGUGUUGGAGGACCAGACUUUCACACACACGCAGCCGGCAGGCCAUCAUCCAGAACAAACAGCAGGAGCAGCAGGUGGACGGCUGAACCAAUGGCAGUCUACAAUAGGCUGCAGGCAACACAGGUUUCUAAAUGAGCAAAAACAGGAAGGGUGCUCCUGCCAUCCACCCAGGCUCAUGAAGUUCGCUUUUUCCCAAAGGUAGUCAUGCUAGGGAUAGACAGGGUUUACAAAAUCCCUUCAUCUUCAGAGGAAACCAGUUCCAGGGACUCCAGGGAGUUCUGCAUAAAGAAAUGGUCCAGAGGCCAUCAUGCUUCCCAGUUUUAACCUUCCAAAUGCAACUGGGAAAAGGCAGACAUAGAAGGACUCAGGGCGCCCCAGGGUUCAGGGCAGGGUUGGAGGCAUUGAAAAGGAAAGCAGUGGAGUGGUGGUGGCCACAGUGCAUCCCGGGCGUUAAGAGAGAAGGGAGAGUUCCUUUCUCCAAACAUUAACUAACUUUCCAAGCCUCUUUCCUCCCUUUCUCCUGACCAAAACAGGAUGGGGAGACAGACCAAUGACAAUAAAAAAAAAUUAUCAAAA